CCAGAGAGACGUGGUCCUCUCUUCCCCGUGGACGACGUCACCGCACUCACGCCCUCCUCACCUGCCCCCCUCUCCCUUAUCUCUUGCCGCGGCCAAACCCUAGCCUCCCUCUUUCCUCCUCCCUCCGCGCCGCCUCCUUCUCCCUCUCUUUUCUUCACCUCUCUGUGAGCAAACGAACCACGAGAAACCCCACAGCAACCACCCACCUCGCCAUGGCGCCGUCACUACACACCAUCCCCCGUCGUUCUGAGAGCACCACGAGAACCGCCUCUUCUCCCUGAUCAUCAUCGUGCAAGGAAUCGAGCCCGGGCGCCUCUCGUGCCGUCGCCAAGGUCGCCGAUUCCCCGCGCAGACCGUCGCCUUUCUUCUCCAAUUCCGGCCGGCCUCGUCCUCCUCCGGCCAAACCGAGCAUACCCCCGGCUUCCUCGUGUUCAGGCACACCUUCGACGCCCUCGCCCUCGUCCUGGUUCGGCUCGAGUCGUCCUCCCCGUGUCCGACCUGGUUACUGUCUAUGCCAUGGCUGCAAGGUCAACGCUCAUCCUCGCCGUCUCAUUCAAGUUUCGUCCAGCGUCAUAUGUUCAGCAACAACACCAGCAGCACACUGAUCUUGCACGCAUAGAUGCUUCAGUUCGUGCGUGAUAUAUUGCAGAUCAACAACAACAGCUAGUGCAACUGAUCAUCCGCAGAUGGGCCUGUCCCAGAUCUCCCCUGUGCGGCCCAUUGCCCGCGCGUCCGGCAACUUCCUGCCGCCUACGCGGUUCCGGCCCAGUUCUUCCGACGCAGCAUCAGGCCAGAUCCGGCCCAGGACAGCGCAGCAUUUGCUUCUUCCUGGAUAGGAUCACGAAGUGGUGCGGUGAGAUACGACAAGUUCUCCGGAUGUUCCUCGGCAAGCUUUAACAGGCAAGCAUUUUCCCCUAUACUCCUGCCCCUGCAGAAGUCGCUCACCUAUUUUAUUUUGCCUUCUCCCUCAUGCUAUCCUUGAGUUGCGUUCUUGUCACGUGUCCCUUCCACUUGUUAUCUCAAGCAGCCCAUAUUGCCACCACCAACCACCAACCUCCUACAGCUGUUGUUUGGUUAUCGGGUCUGCCUUGCGAGUCGUAGUGCAUGCUAGUGCUGUUUAUAUCUCGUUACCGUUACCGCCAUCUUAUCGGUUUAUCUGUUGGGGAUCCUGACACAUGCUACAUGGUUAUAUCUGUUGGAGGUUAUCAUGGUUACUUGUUAAUAGUUGUUAGCGGAGGCAUCGGUGGGUCAGUUGCUCGUUUUAUGACGGCUCACUUGUGUUUCCAUGAAACCUAGGACCCCGUGUUCUUGUUAUCUGCUCCAAGACUAAGCGCUCUAACCACACGUGGGUAUGCUUCUGGGUCUCCCCUUGACCACUGCCGGAAUCUAAAGCUUUGUCCAGUGGCCACAACUAGUUUGCAAUGUUUUACCAUUUGUUGUUUGCGUGCAUGCCAGCUUGUUACUUAUUUACUUUGGGAAGCCCCUGGGUGCCUUGUAUCCCUUGUUUCUGGUAUGCACGUAUAGGUCGUGGAGCCUCUGCGAAGUGGUUUAUCGCCCCAGUGUGUGUUUAAACCACCUAGCACGUUGACACACAUAGCUAAGUCCGCUUCGGAGAUACGGCCGGACUUCGAUACGAGUUCAAUUUGGUUAGGUGGCUUCCUGGACAUUGUUGCCGUGAAGGAGAGUGCGAGUCGUGAUAUUCACCUGUCGCAAGUGGGUUGAUCGUGCGUGUGGGAACAUUUGGGCACCCCUGCAGGGUUACCUCUUAUCGAUAAGCCGCGUCCGCGGUUAUGGACGACUUGGAGCUGUAUGACUCGACCAUAGACAACUUACACCUGUUGCUUCAAUCAUAAUAACCGGUGUAGUAAGUUAGCGCAACUCUAAUAAUAAAUGGUUAAAACUUGUCAACAGUGUGAGUGCCUUUGCCAAUACUUCUUGGCGAAGGGGGAACACAUCGGUUGUGUUAUGUUUGCAGAGUAUAGAACUGUUAGUUUAUGCGCUCCCUCACCUUCUCUAUUUAGACGAAUGUUGUAGAGUGUCUCUAUAGGUUUUUAGUGCUUGCGCGCUGUCGCUUAACCCCACCAUAUUGCCUAUGACGUUCCUCUUGCGUCCUCUAAGUUCCCUGCGUGCCUCAAGUACAAAGGACGACUGGUUGACGAAUGCUUAUACGUCUUGAAGUCUUGUUAAGUACGAACCGUACUUAUUGCUGCUUCUACGGGACAUAACCGGGCAGGUAUGAAGAUAUGUUCGAUGAAGACGACGUUAGCAAGGUUACC